AGAGUUUGAUCAUGGCUCAGAAUGAACGCUAGCGGCGUGCUUAACACAUGCAAGUCGUACGAGAACUCUUUAGCUUGCUAAAGAUAGUAAAGUGGCGCACGGGUGAGUAACGCGUGGGUAAUCUACCUCUGAAUUUGGGAUAACUCCGCGAAAGCGGGGCUAAUACCGGAUAAUAUUUCAGGAUCUUCGGGUCUUGAAAUCAAAAGCGGCCUCUACAUGUAAGCCACUGUUUGGAGAUGAGUCUCGCGCACCAUUAGCUUGUUGGUAGGGCUAAUGGCCUACCUAGGCUCACGAUGGUUAGCUGGUCUGAAAGGCACGAUCCCUCACACUGGAACUGACUCUUGGUCCUGACUCUCUUCGGUGAGGCAGC
rnacentral:rRNA from 1 species